rnacentral:rRNA from 1 species
AAAAAAAGUAGCGAAGUAUGUGAGCCAUGUGCCGAGAAAAGCCGCUAUCGUUUUAUAUGUGCCCGUACCGUAAACCGACACAGGUGGAUGAGGAGAGAAUCCUAAGGCCGACGGAAGAAGCAUUGUUAAGGAACUCGGCAAAAUGACCCCGUAACUUCGGGAGAAGGGGUGCCCACUUCAGGGUGGGCCGCAGAGAAUAGGCUCAAGCAACUGUUUAGCAAAAACACAGGUCUAUGCGAAACCGUAAGGUGAAGUAUAUGGGCUGACGCCUGCCCGGUGCUGGAAGGUUAAGAGGAGGUUAGUCGCAAGAUGAAGCUUUGAAUUUAAGCCCCAGUAAACGGCGGCCGUAACUAUAACGGUCCUAAGGUAGCGAAAUUCCUUGUCGGGUAAGUUCCGACCCGCACGAAAGGCGUAAUGAUUUGAGCACUGUCUCGACAAUGCAUCCGGUGAAAUUGUAGUACCAGUGAAGAUGCUGGUUACCCGCGCCAGGACGGAAAGACCCCAUGGAGCUUUACUCCAGUUUGGUACUGGGAUUCGGUACUGCAUGUACAGGAUAGGUGGGAGACUGAGAAAUUGGAACGCCAGUUUCAAUGGAGUCACUGUUGGGAUACCACCCCUGCAGUAUUGGGUUUUCUAACCAGCCGCUGUGAUCCAGCGGUGGGACAAUGCCAGGCGGGGAGUUUGACUGGGGCGGUCGCCUCCGAAAGGGUAUCGGAGGCGCUCAAAGGUUCCCUCAGAAUGGUCGGAAACCAUUUGAAGAGUGCAAAGGCAGAAGGGAGCUUGACUGCGACACCGACGGGUGGAGCAGGUACGAAAGUAGGACUUAGUGAUCCGGUGGCAUAAAGUGGGAUUGCCAUCGCUCAACGGAUAAAAGCUACCCUGGGAUAACAGGCUUAUCACUCCCAAGAGUUCACAUCGACGGAGUGGUUUGGCACCUCGAUGUCGGCUCAUCGCAUCCUGGGGCUGUAGCAGGUCCCAAGGGUUGGGCUGUUCGCCCAUUAAAGCGGUACGCGAGCUGGGUUCAGAACGUCGUGAGACAGUUCGGUCCCUAUCCGGCGCGGGCGGAGGAUAUUUGAGAGGAGCUGUCCUUAGUACGAGAGGACCGGGAUGGACGGACCACUGGUGUAUCUGCUGUCGACCAACGGCAUGGCAGAGUAGCCAAGUCCGGAAGGGAUAAACGCUGAAGGCAUCUAAGCGUGAAGCCCCCCUCAAGAUGAGAUAUCCCUCACAUAAGUGAGUAAGAUCCCUUGAAGAGUACAAGGUAGAUAGGGCAGAGGUGGAAGCACGGUAACGUGUAGAGCUGACUGUUACUAAUCGAUCGAGGGCUUGAUC